rfam:Asian citrus Psyllid, Diaphorina citri - Florida Strain, whole genome shotgun sequence.
GUGCGCAGCGAUAGCACGUUGAAUGCACCAGUUCCCAACGAAUCAUUGAAGUUAGGCAACGUUGCUUGUGGUUGGUAUCCGGACGGGUGACCAUCAGGGCAAUCGCUUGCUGCUCGCU